GAAUGAAGCGGAUCUUCCUGCUGAACUUAUCGCUGUGGAGAACAGGGUCAAAGGUCACAGAUCCACCACAGGAGGCCGCUCUAACCGAGGGGGAAGACUUGGGGUCCUGUUCUAAAGCUCAGGUCUGAGCUUUAGAAUGUGUUUCUGCUGCAACAUCCAACAUCUGCAUAACAUCAAACACUCUUUAAGACACUGAGAUGGCGCCUUGUGCUGACCGAUGUUUCCAUCAGGCGGUGCAGUUCUGUGAGGUUCUGGUUUCACCAGCGUGCACCACAGACUCUUGGAAGAAUUCUUCAAGAUCGAAAGAAUUACGAAGAUUGGCGAUGUGUUAAUCGUCAGCAACAGACAUGACAGCCGUUUAAUCUAACGCCAGUAAAUUAUUGGGUCUUAAAUGUUAUGUAGACAUCUGCCACCAGGUGGUGCAUCGUCGUUGGGAAAACCUGCUCAUCUCCAUCUAUUAUUACUUUAUUACAUUAAUAUAACAGGAGGUUCAGUAAAAACGUCCUUCAAGGAGCUGCUCUUUACUUUCUUACUCUGAGUAACUGUCAGAGCCUGUACUUUUUCACUUAAGUUUAAAUCCAUACUUGAACUUUUACUGCAGUAUUUUUUAACACUAGUAUAUGUACUUCAUAUUGAUGUCGUCAAAGAACAGCAUCGUGGUCCGUAAAGCCCAACAGCGACUCUACUUCCUCCUCAAACUGAGGAGAGCGAGAGCAGAGAAAGGAUCGUGGGUGCUUCUCUGCCCUCACUCCAGGACAUCUACUCUCUCCCUGCUCUGUCGACCCCGGCCCCCAAAACUCUGAACCACCGCCCUUCACUGACUCCCACACUCCCACUUUCCCAAAAACACUCAGACUGUGUUGGACACUGUUGUGUGUAUAAGACUUUUAUCUUUUAUGUUGUUUAGUGUAACACUGAGGACUGUGGGAGCCCUGCAGUUUCACUGUGUAUGAUCUGUACAUGUGCUUUUGACAAUAACUCUUCUCUACUUAAACACUGAAUGUCUGGACUUUUGCCACCUCUGAUCAUGAAUGUGAUAAAUAUUUUAAAAUGC